rnacentral:rRNA from 3 species
CAAGACAACUUUACGGAGUUGACGAUUGACGGAGCGAAGCGACGUCAAAGCGUUCAUUAAAGUCGAGUUGGCUUAGGGAUACGUUCGUUGGGUAGGGGAGCGUUCUGUAAGCCUGUGAAGGUGUGUCGUGAGGCAUGCUGGAGGUAUCAGAAGUGCGAAUGCUGACAUAAGUAACGAUAAAGCGGGUGAAAAGCCCGCUCGCCGGAAGACCAAGGGUUCCUGUCCAACGUUAAUCGGGGCAGGGUGAGUCGACCCCUAAGGCGAGGCCGAAAGGCGUAGUCGAUGGGAAACGGGUUAAUAUUCCCGUACUUGGUGUUACUGCGAAGGGGGGACGGAGAAGGCUAUGUUGGCCGGGCGACGGUUGUCCCGGUUUAAGCGUGUAGGUGUGUGUUCCAGGUAAAUCCGGUUCACUUUAACACUGAGGCGUGACGACGAGGCACUACGGUGCUGAAGCAACAAAUGCCCUGCUUCCAGGAAAAGCCUCUAAGCAUCAGGUAACACGAAAUCGUACCCCAAACCGACACAGGUGGUCAGGUAGAGAAUACCAAGGCGCUUGAGAGAACUCGGGUGAAGGAACUAGGCAAAAUGGUGCCGUAACUUCGGGAGAAGGCACGCUGACACGUAGGUGAAGUGAUUUACUCAUGGAGCUGAAGUCAGUCGAAGAUACCAGCUGGCUGCAACUGUUUAUUAAAAACACAGCACUGUGCAAACACGAAAGUGGACGUAUACGGUGUGACGCCUGCCCGGUGCCGGAAGGUUAAUUGAUGGGGUCAGCG